AGGUGCUGCAUGGCUGUCGUCAGCUCGUGUUGUGAAAUGUUGGGUUAAGUCCCGCAACGAGCGCAACCCUUAUCCUUUGUUGCCAGCGCGUAAUGGCGGGAACUCAAAGGAGACUGCCGGUGAUAAACCGGAGGAAGGUGGGGAUGACGUCAAGUCAUCAUGGCCCUUACGAGUAGGGCUACACACGUGCUACAAUGGCGUAUACAAAGAGAAGCGAACUCGCGAGAGCCAGCGGACCUCAUAAAGUACGUCGUAGUCCGGAUCGGAGUCUGCAACUCGACUCCGUGAAGUCGGAAUCGCUAGUAAUCGUAGAUCAGAAUGCUACGGUGAAUACGUUCCCGGGCCUUGUACACACCGCCCGUCACACCAUGGGAGUGGGUUGCAAAAGAAGUAGGUAGCUUAACCUUCGGGAGGGCG
rnacentral:rRNA from 1 species